UAGAACUUUGAACUUGUAAAAUGGAUGGCUAUAGUGUGACUGUGUUCCUUAUUAGGUUAGUCAUGGAUUAAAUCAAUAAACAUGAAAUAUCCACAUUCUAGGCAUGGACAAAUCAAUGAAGAUGAGGCAAACUCUUGAUUUCUUCAUGUGCAUGGUUCCCUGGUGAUAUUCAAAUAACAUGUUGGUGCGUGGGCACAACUCUCAUUUUAUAUUUUUUGUGCAUACACAUGGAUAAAAUGUGUAGGCACGACUCUGUUACCACACUACUUUACUUUUUUUUUUUUUUUUCUCCAUUUCUUCGCUUCUUUUCUUUUUUCUUCUCUUCUUUUUCUUUAAUUAUCAUCUAUCACUAUCAUUCACCAUUCACUAUACCUCCUUUUAGUUAGUUAGUUAGUUAGUUAGUGUUUAGCUAGUAAGUUAAUUAGUUUAAUUUUCUAUUUUAAUAGAUUAGGUUAUUAACAUAGGUUAGAUUUUUUAGUGAUAAGUGUUGGAUUAUUGAUAUUGUUGUUGCUAAAUAUUGUUAGAUAUCUUCAUUGAGAUCAUACUUAACUACUUGGUUGAAUUUUGAAUGUUGGAUAUUUAAUUUGUAUAUACCAAAUACUUAUGACAUUGUCUUCAUGAAUUUUGUUGGAUUUCUAAAUUGCAUGGUAGCUAGCCACUAUAUAAUUUGAAUUCACUAUUUGUUACUUGGCAAUUGUAUGUAGUUGAUGUAUUUUUUUUUUUUGUUAGGUGAUGCUUCCUAUGAUCUAUUUUUAUUUGAGUCAUCUAGUUGAUGCAUUGACAUUAAGAAAUUGUGAAAUUGGAUCGUAAGCCUAUUUAGUGACAUUUUUUGAGAUUUUUAAGUUUUGUGGUCUAAUCUUGCCAUGUUUUUCACUUCAUGUCAUUUAGGUGUUGCAAACAAACUUUCCUCUAUCAUCCAUUUCACAAUUUCUUGAUUUUUGUUUGAAUACUUUUAUGCUCCUUUAUUACUUAUUUAUUUAUCUUAAUCUACAAGUUUCUUUUUUAAAAGUAUUUCAAGCACACUAAAAUGAGUGAAGUGCAUGUUUCUUUGUGUAAUUGUGACAUAGCUUUCUAUGCUAUUGUGUGUUCUAAACUGCCCGCAACUUAGAAUUUACACACUUGUUUUUUUCAUGUCACAAACUAAUUCACUCACUUUAUUUUAGUGAUUCUUACCUCAUUCUAACAAUUUAUACUUCCUUGUUUUUGCAUUUACUCAUCUUACUAUCUUAUUUUCCAUCUUUCAUGGAUGAGUCACCAUAAGAAAAAAGGGAAGCGGGAGAAAGACGCAGCAGCCGGUUGAUCUACCAGCUGAAGAUGGCAAUCCAAAUAGUCGCCAUACUCCCUUGCUCAUCUUUGGAUGCACCGAGGAUGGUGCAAACCUUUAAGUGUAGGGAGGUCACCACCGAUCGGCAAUCUUGGGUUUCCAAGACAAGUAUGGAUUGAAGAAGUGAGAAAAGAGCAUGUAAAAGAGAAGAAAACCAUGAAGAAAUGGAGUUUGGAAGUUUCAGCAUCCGUGUGUGCGCACAGUAAUGCGUACAUACGCACAAGUGUGAGCUCAUGGCGACGCGUACGCGUGACCCAAGCGUACGCGUGAGGGUGAAUUUUGCCAGAUGACGCGUACCCGUGACCCUUGUCACGUGAGCUCAUUAAUUGCAAUUCGCUAGGGACGAAUUCUGGGCCUCCAAAACCCAGUCCAACUCAUUUCUGAAGUUAUUUUAAGACAAAGUGAAGAAGGAUGAAGGGGAGAGUAAUUAGGGUAGUUUGGUAUCAUGUUGCAGGUCAUUUUCUAGAGAGAGAAGUUCCCCCUUCUCUCUAGAAAUUAGUGUUAUUAGUUUAAUUUUUCUAUUUAAUU